UUGUCCAGAUCGAGUUUUGUAUCCCUUCCUUCCCACCACGCCGUUAAACCCUCUCAAAAGCCCUCGCCUCACCACUUCCGCUCAUCUGAGAAAAUGGCUUGGCGCUCUGCUGGAUCGCUCUCUCGUUCGCUGAUGUCCAGCGCUAGGGUUUCGGCUCAACGCUCGAUCCCGUCCCUGCCUCGAUUACGCCCGCCCAACGUGGCUGCCCCUCCUCGUCGUCUCUCCUUCUCCUCUCCCAGGCAUUUGGGAGAAUUGGGAUGCAUGCAGUCUCUUCUGCCGAUCGGUGUAGCUGCUACCUGUUUAACUUCUCAUUUGGCCGUCAACGUGCGGGCUUUCUGCGAGCUGUCUCAUGGUACCUUCCGUCGAACUUGUCAAGAUCGCUAGUAGUCUCUUUGGAGGAGUGGAAAAGACGGGUGAUGCACUUCAACAUUCAAUGAUCCAAAGGAGGGCAAUGAUGCUGCAUUGUACUUGAGAGACUUUGGGAUCAGCAUUAUCAGGAUGGACUACAUAUUUUGGGGGAAGUUAUGGAGAUCGGAUUUAUCCUUUUAGGAUAUUGUGCUUUUGGAUUAAAAAUUGUAAUACAAGUAUGCCAUUUUUUUAAUACUUUUUGGAAUAAGAAAACUACGGAAUUAUUUGAGCUUCUAGAAGACCUUUAGAAUCUAGUAUUAGCCUUUCACAGGUCACUUAUUGUGAUAGAUGUUUGUUGGUCUGCCAAUUUGCUAACUCCUUUGUUCAACGUUCAGUAUUUAUGUUGUCGAGUGUCAACCUACUCCAGCUCGUGUUUUUCAUAUUAUUGCCAAAUUAUAUACCAUUGCUUCUAUUUUUUGCAGCA